CGAACCGGGGGAACUGAAACAUCUAAGUACCCCGAGGAAAAGAAAUCAACCGAGAUUCCCCCAGUAGCGGCGAGCGAACGGGGAGCAGCCCAGAGCCUGAAUCAGUAUGUGUGUUAGUGGAAGCGUCUGGAAAGGCGCGCGAUACAGGGUGACAGCCCCGUACACAAAAAUGCACAUGCUGUGAGCUCGAUGAGUAGGGCGGGACACGUGGUAUCCUGUCUGAAUAUGGGGGGACCAUCCUCCAAGGCUAAAUACUCCUGACUGACCGAUAGUGAACCAGUACCGUGAGGGAAAGGCGAAAAGAACCCCGGCGAGGGGAGUGAAAAAGAACCUGAAACCGUGUACGUACAAGCAGUGGGAGCACGCUUAGGCGUGUGACUGCGUACCUUUUGUAUAAUGGGUCAGCGACUUAUAUUCUGUAGCAAGGUUAACCGAAUAGGGGAGCCGAAGGGAAACCGAGUCUUAACUGGGCGUUAAGUUGCAGGGUAUAGACCCGAAACCCGGUGAUCUAGCCAUGGGCAGGUUGAAGGUUGGGUAACACUAACUGGAGGACCGAACCGACUAAUGUUGAAAAAUUAGCGGAUGACUUGUGGCUGGGGGUGAAAGGCCAAUCAAACCGGGAGAUAGCUGGUUCUCCCCGAAAGCUAUUUAGGUAGCGCCUCGUGAAUUCAUCUCCGGGGGUAGAGCACUGUUUCGGCAAGGGGGUCAUCCCGACUUACCAACCCGAUGCAAACUGCGAAUACCGGAGAAUGUUAUCACGGGAGACACACGGCGGGUGCUAACGUCCGUCGUGAAGAGGGAAACAACCCAGACCGCCAGCUAAGGUCCCAAAGUCAUGGUUAAGUGGGAAACGAUGUGGGAAGGCCCAGACAGCCAGGAUGUUGGCUUAGAAGCAGCCAUCAUUUAAAGAAAGCGUAAUAGCUCACUGGUCGAGUCGGCCUGCGCGGAAGAUGUAACGGGGCUAAACCAUGCACCGAAGCUGCGGCAGCGACGCUUAUGCGUUGUUGGGUAGGGGAGCGUUCUGUAAGCCUGUGAAGGUGUGCUGUGAGGCAUGCUGGAGGUAUCAGAAGUGCGAAUGCUGACAUAAGUAACGAUAAAGCGGGUGAAAAGCCCGCUCGCCGGAAGACCAAGGGUUCCUGUCCAACGUUAAUCGGGGCAGGGUGAGUCGACCCCUAAGGCGAGGCCGAAAGGCGUAGUCGAUGGGAAACAGGUUAAUAUUCCUGUACUUGGUGUUACUGCGAAGGGGGGACGGAGAAGGCUAUGUUGGCCGGGCGACGGUUGUCCCGGUUUAAGCGUGUAGGCUGGUUUUCCAGGCAAA
rnacentral:rRNA from 1 species